rnacentral:rRNA from 1 species
CCUACGGGAAGCAGCAGGUAAGAAUAUUCCGCAAUGGGGGGAACCCUGACGGAGCGACGCCGCGUGAACGAAGAAGGCCGGAAGGUUGUAAAGUUCUUUUCUGUUCGAGGAAUAAGUUUCGGAGGAAAUGCCGGGACGGUGACGGUAGGGCAGGAAUAAGCACCGGCUAAUUACGUGCCAGCAGCCGCGGUAACACGUAAGGUGCGAGCGUUGUUCGGAAUUAUUGGGCGUAAAGGGCAUGCAGGCGGGUCGCCAAGCUUGGUAAGAAAUACCGGGGCUCAACUCCGGAGCUAUAUUGAGAACUGGCGAGCUAGAGUUGCCGAAGGGUAUCCGGAAUUCCGCGUGAAGGGGUGAAAUCUGUAGAUAUGCGGAAGAACACCGAUGGCGAAGGCAGGAUACCGGCGGACGACUGACGCUGAGGUGCGAAGGUGCGGGGAGCAAACAGGAUUAGAUACCCUAGUAGUC